rnacentral:hammerhead_ribozyme from 1 species
AUCUACCUGACGAGUCUCAAAUAGGACGAAGUGACAGGCGUCAUGGAU